rnacentral:lncRNA from 1 species
AAGUUUUCGAUUUUUCCAUUUAAAAAAAAAAAUUAUAUUCACUUUCCUUGUUUUUUAAAUUUUCGGAUUGUUCUCCAAGUUUUCAAAAAAAAAAAAAAAAUAUAUCUCUCUUUCCUUUUUCAAACCUGAUUCGAUUUUUGUCUUAACUUUUUGCAUUUACUCUUAGCCUUGGUCGAUACUCAUAGUAUCCGACCCAAGCAACUAUUUAACCCCCUCUUGCCUUUAAUCUUUCUUUGAGUUUCUUUUCAGAGAACUAUGGGAGAUGUAGGUCAAGACCAAGCGGCCAUAAACGCUCAGCUCCUAGCUGACAAUGAAGAACUGAGGGCGAGCCUUAGGACUAUCACAGCCGAGCUUGCUCAGCUACGGCAGGGAGGCAGGCCCAACGGACCUCGACCACCAGGAAGGCAUCAGCCGGACCGCAUGACACUGACUCGGACGC